rnacentral:lncRNA from 1 species
UAGUAACAAAGUAAAUAACCUAUGGUUAAAUGACAUAAUUUUUUGUUUGUUGUCAAAACUGGUAAAUGGCAUUAAGUUAAGCAACGAAAACAAGAUAAUUAAUUAGUGGUCAGAUUCGGAAACGACACCUAAACAAGUCGUUAUAGCGUGAGGUCCACCGUUUCCUCCAAACGUCGUCGUCACACAGGCCGUAUAUAAAUAAAAAAUAAAUAUAAAAAAAAAACAAAAAC